GGUCAAAAUAAUAUAUAUAAACAUGUAAAAUUAUGUACAAAAAAGUAGGCACUGUAAGCCCUUUUUUUUCAGUUUUGUGCGUGUUGGGUCUGGCCUCUUCGUAGGCCCAAGACCAGCCCUUCCAGGGGAUCCAACACCCUUGCUAGCCCCUAAACCUUUGUUGCAUGUCUCAUUUGCAGAAACCAGCCUUCUGUUUCUUAUACGUUCUCCAGCUUGAGCUCCGUUAGGGCACACUGUUCUCUCCUAGUUCCAAGCUAACAAAAACAUCUCGUACCUACUGCUCACUACUCGAGUUCCUGGAGCUGUGCUAUCCCUUGGUUAGGGUCUUUUGCUUUCUGUACCCAAAACAAGAUGGGAGAGGUGCUGGUGGUGGAUCUGGGGAAAAUAGCGGUGCGGCUUAGAUUUCUUUGCUUGUCUUCACGGCGUUAGAAACAGUUUCUUGGCUUCAUGGGGCCUUUUGUAAUGGUUGUUUAGUGGCAACCCCUUUUGCUAAACUGUUAACCUCAUCUUAUGUUUUGUUAUGGCAUGGUGGCAUGCCUAAGUUGUUUUUUUUUUCGGUACCCUCGUGGAUGACUG